rnacentral:rRNA from 1 species
UCGGGAAUUUUGGGCAAUGGGCGAAAGCCUGACCCAGCAACGCCGCGUGAGGGAUGAAGGCCCUCGGGUCGUAAACCUCUGUCGGGAGGGAAGAACGAUCGCAAGGUGAAUAAUCUUGGGGUCUGACGGUACCUCCAAAGGAAGCGCCGGCUAACUCCGUGCCAGCAGCCGCGGUAAUACGGAGGGCGCAAGCGUUGUUCGGAAUCAUUGGGCGUAAAGCGCGUGUAGGCGGCUUGGCAAGUCGGGUGUGAAAUCCCGGGGCUCAACCCCGGAACUGCAUUCGAUACUGCCUCGCUAGAGUCCCGGAGAGGAGGGCGGAAUUCCCGGUGUAGAGGUGAAAUUCGUAGAUAUCGGGAGGAACACCAGUGGCGAAGGCGGCCCUCUGGACGGUGACUGACGCUGAGAUGCGAAAGCGUGGGGAGCAAAACAGGAUUAGAUACCCUGGUAGUCCUGGCCGUAAAACGAUGUGCACUUGGUGUGAGCCGGUUUUCGGUUCGUGCCGCAGUUAACGCAGUAAGUG